rnacentral:rRNA from 1 species
GACGAACGCUGGCGGCGUGCCUAAUACAUGCCAGUAGAACGCUGAAGAGAGGAGCUUGCUCUUCUUGGAUGAGUUGCGAACGGGUGAGUAACGCGUAGGUAACCUGCCUUGUAGCGGGGGAUAACUAUUGGAAACGAUAGCUAAUACCGCAUAACAAUGGAUGACACAUGUCAUUUAUUUGAAAGGGGCAAUUGCUCCACUACAAGAUGGACCUGCGUUGUAUUAGCUAGUAGGUGAGGUAACGGCUCACCUAGGCGACGAUACAUAGCCGACCUGAGAGGGUGAUCGGCCACACUGGGACUGAGACACGGCCCAGACUCCUACGGGAGGCAGCAGUAGGGAAUCUUCGGCAAUGGGGGCAACCCUGACCGAGCAACGCCGCGUGAGUGAAGAAGGGUUUCGGAUCGUAAAGCUCUGUUGUAAGUCAAGAACGAGUGUGAGAGUGGAAAGUUUACACUGUGACGGUAGCUUACCAGAAAGGGACGGCUAACUACGUG